AAUUCUCAACCCUCAACCUCUUUUUUGAGGCUUUGGGCUUGGACUGUGGAGGCCUUGCUGGUGAGAAUCAGCUCCUCUGAAAUGCAUUAGCGGAACCGUUUGCGAUCUGCCACAAGUGUGAUAAUUAUCUACACUGGCCGGGGGAUUGCUCUCUUGAGUUCAGCUUCUAAUCGUCUUCGGACAAACUCAAUGAAC
rnacentral:misc_RNA from 1 species